rnacentral:rRNA from 1 species
GAUGAACGCUGGCGGCGUGCCUAAUACAUGCAAGUCGAGCGAACAGACGAGGAGCUUGCUCCUCUGACGUUAGCGGCGGACGGGUGAGUAACACGUGGAUAACCUACCUAUAAGACUGGGAUAACUUCGGGAAACCGGAGCUAAUACCGGAUAAUAUAUUGAACCGCAUGGUUCAAUAGUGAAAGACGGUUUUGCUGUCACUUAUAGAUGGAUCCGCGCCGCAUUAGCUAGUUGGUAAGGUAACGGCUUACCAAGGCGACGAUGCGUAGCCGACCUGAGAGGGUGAUCGGCCACACUGGAACUGAGACACGGUCCAGACUCCUACGGGAGGCAGCAGUAGGGAAUCUUCCGCAAUGGGCGAAAGCCUGACGGAGCAACGCCGCGUGAGUGAUGAAGGUCUUCGGAUCGUAAAACUCUGUUAUUAGGGAAGAACAAAUGUGUAAGUAACUAUGCACGUCUUGACGGUACCUAAUCAGAAAGCCACGGCUAACUACGUGCCAGCAGCCGCGGUAAUACGUAGGUGGCAAGCGUUAUCCGGAAUUAUUGGGCGUAAAGCGCGCGUAGGCGGUUUUUUAAGUCUGAUGUGAAAGCCCACGGCUCAACCGUGGAGGGUCAUUGGAAACUGGAAAACUUGAGUGCAGAAGAGGAAAGUGGAAUUCCAUGUGUAGCGGUGAAAUGCGCAGAGAUAUGGAGGAACACCAGUGGCGAAGGCGACUUUCUGGUCUGUAACUGACGCUGAUGUGCGAAAGCGUGGGGAUCAAACAGG